UACGUAGGGGGCUAGCGUUGUCCGGAAUCAUUGGGCGUAAAGCGCGUGUAGGCGGCCCGGUAAGUCCGCUGUGAAAGUCGGGGGCUCAACCCUCGAAUGCCGGUGGAUACUGUCGGGCUAGAGUACGGAAGAGGCGAGUGGAAUUCCUGGUGUAGCGGUGAAAUGCGCAGAUAUCAGGAGGAACACCCAUUGCGAAGGCAGCUCGCUGGGACGCUACUGACGCUGAGACGCGAAAGCGUGGGGAGCAAACAGG
rnacentral:rRNA from 1 species